UUUAACACACCCACUGGAAGCCGGAGCUGCAGAGCUGCCCGGCCAAGCCGUCUCCAGAACCCAGUGUGGCUGAAAGAGUUGUGCCAUCCGACAGUUUUGCAGCCAAAAAAACCCAACCCACGCCAAAGGCAAAGCCCAGCUCGGAUACAGCAGCCGCCCCGGCUGGAUCUCAGCUGAGCGCUCGUCUCUCCCGAGCGGCGGACAACGCGAUGGAUGAAGGAGCUGGAACCGCUCGGAGAAAAUGAUUUUGCAGCCAAUGUUUUUAAGCAGUCUCACAGAAGAGAGGGAGAGAGCGGAGAGCGCUUCUGCUGCAUCACUGGGCGCAUUCAAAGGAAGGAGUCAGCGUUUCCUGCACUGCCAAACGUUAUGGAUGAUUUUUUUCCUUCUGUCGCCUUUCCGUACAGGUUUUCUUAAUAUUCUUCUCCCUCCCCUCCUCCCCGGCAUUUUUUGAACGAUUAUGAUUUAAUCGCAGCCAGCACCAGCCGCCGGUUUCCCCUCCAGAAGCGGCUCUCCCUAUUUGUCGUGAGCCCCGUAAUAAAAAGCGAGAGGAACCGCGAACAGAUGGCUGUAGAUAUCGCAGUGCCGCUGGCUUUGUUUUCCUAUUGAUUUUAAAGGCUCCUUUUUCCGAUUAUUUUUUUUUUCCC
rnacentral:lncRNA from 1 species